CUCAGGGGUGUAAGGUACCUAAAUCCCUGGGCAGGCAGAGGUAAAAACAUGGCAGCCCACCAACUUGAUGCCAUUAAUUUGGAAGGAGGAGGAGGCCUGUAUAUGUUGUGGAUCCACUGGAAAACCUGUUAGAAAAGGAAAACAACAACAACAAUUGCCCCAUUGAGUUCCAUGGUGAUAUUUGCCAUCUUUGGGGACUGUGUUACAAAAAUAGGAAGAUCCGACUAGGACUAGGAGGAGGAACGGAGACAGGAGCUCAGAGCCAUUCAAUGGAAGCUAAGGAAGUUUUCCCCCUGAGGCCUGUCCACUGCCUGGGGCCCUGCCAGACCAGCAACGUGUUCUUGUGGUUGUGUAUUUUCUUCUUUUUUUUAGUGUUUUCAUUAGGGGAUUAUAAUCAUACAUAAUAGUGGGAUUUAUUUGGACAUAAUCACAGAUGAUAGAAUAUAACUAGCUCCAUUCAGUCUCA